rnacentral:rRNA from 1 species
AUUGAACGCUGGCGGUAGGCCUAACACAUGCAAGUCGAACGUGAAAGUCCUUCGGGAUGAGUAGAGUGGCGGACGGGUGAGUAACGCGUAGGAAUCUAUCCUGUAGUGGGGGAUAACGUUUCGAAAGGAACGCUAAUACCGCAUACGCCCCAAGGGGGAAAGCGGGGGAUCUUCGGACCUCGUGCUAUAGGAGGAGCCUGCGUCGGAUUAGCUAGUUGGUGAGGUAAAGGCUCACCAAGGCGACGAUCCGUAGCUGGUCUGAGAGGAUGAUCAGCCACACCGGAACUGAGACACGGUCCGGACUCCUACGGGAGGCAGCAGUGGGGAAUAUUGCGCAAUGGGCGAAAGCCUGACGCAGCCAUACCGCGUGUGUGAAGAAGGCCUUCGGGUUGUAAAGCACUUUCAGUGGGGAGGAAAAGCUGGUGGCUAAUAUCCAUCGGCCGUGACGCUACCCACAGAAGAAGCACCGGCUAAUUCCGUGCCAGCCGCCGCAGUAAAAC